rnacentral:rRNA from 1 species
AGAACGAAUGCUGGCGGCAUGCCUAAUACAUGCAAGUCGAACGAACUCUUCGGAGUUAGUGGCGCACGGGUGCGUAACGCGUGGGAAUCUGCCCCUUGGUUCGGAAUAACAGUUGGAAACGACUGCUAAUACCGGAAUGAUGACGAAAGUCCAAAGAUUUAUCGCCAAGGGAUGAGCCCGCGUAGGAUUAGCUAGUUGGUGAGGUAAAGGCUCACCAAGGCAACGAUCCUUAGCUGGUCUGAGAGGAUGAUCAGCCACACGUGGACUGAGACACGGCCCAGACUCCGUACGGGAGGCAGGACAGUAGGAAGUAUUAGGACGAAGUGGACGAAACGCCUAGAUCCGAGACAAUGGCCGCGUGGAGUGAGUGAAGGUCCGUUAGGGUUAGUAAA